rnacentral:rRNA from 1 species
UACAGAGGGGGCAAGCGUUAUUCGGAAUUAUUGGGCGUAAAGGGCGCGUAGGCGGCUUGGCAAGUGGAAGGUGAAAUCCCUCGGCUUAACCGGGGAACUGCGUCUGAUACUGGAUGGCUAGAGAUUGGGAGAGGGAUGCGGAAUUCCAGGUGUAGCGGUGAAAUGCGUAGAUAUCUGGAGGAACACCGGUGGCGAAGGCGGCAUCCUGGACCAACACUGACGCUGAGGAGCGAAAGCCAGGGGAGCAAACGGG